UCUAAUGUAUCAGAACUCAUCAUCCAACAAACCAUAUUUUGAAAACGACAUCACAGCUUAGAUUUACAUCGUCUAUUAUUUCUUCAAGAGCUACCUCUCCUAAGGUUAAUUACUUCCUACAUGUUGAAAAAUGACUUUCUAUUGUGAACUUCUGUAGAAUCCUUACCAGAUAAAAUGGUAAUGCAAAAGCUUUGUGGACAUUUCAGGAUCUCUGGUGACAGACCUGUGGGACGGGUCAAGAGGUCAUCCAGGAGCACCUUCCUAAAGCACAUGGGCUGUUGGCAACUUGUCACACAUUGGCAACUUCCGUUUGGCCAUGGUGACUUUGUCAAAAAUGGAAUCAUCUCGUCAAGUUACAAAAGAAAAUUAGUAUCUGUGAUCAGAGCAGAACUCCAUCUUUAAAAAAGUUUUCUCAGCUGAAGGAAGAAAGGGAAGGAGGAGUACAAGGCUUUGCAGGAAGAAAAAGCAUGUACCUCA